rnacentral:rRNA from 1 species
AACGAACGCUGGCGGCAUGCCUAACACAUGCAAGUCGAACGAGACCUUCGGGUCUAGUGGCGCACGGGUGCGUAACGCGUGGGAACCUGCCUUUAGGUUCGGAAUAACUCAGAGAAAUUUGAGCUAAUACCGGAUAAUGUCUUCGGACCAAAGAUUUAUCGCCUUUAGAUGGGCCCGCGUUGGAUUAGCUAGUUGGUGGGGUAAAGGCCUACCAAGGCGACGAUCCAUAGCUGGUCUGAGAGGAUGAUCAGCCACACUGGGACUGAGACACGGCCCAGACUCCUAUGGGAGGCAGCAGUGGGGAAUAUUGGACAAAUGGGCGAAAGCCUGAUCCAGCAAUGCCGCGUGAGUGAUGAAGGCCUUAGGGUUGUAAAGCUNUUUUACCCGAGAUGAUAAUGACAGU